rnacentral:rRNA from 1 species
AACUUCUCAAGUUGGCC